UACGUAGGGUGCGAGCGUUAAUCGGAAUUACUGGGCGUAAAACGUGCGCAGGCGGCUUUGCAAGACAGAUGUGAAAUCCCCGGGCUCAACUUGGGAACUGCAAUUGUGACUGCAAGGCUAGAGUAUGGCAGAGGGGGAUGGAAUUCCGCGUGUAGCAGUGAAAUGCGUAGAUAUGCGGAGGAACACCAAUGGCGAAGGCAAUCCCCUGGGCCUGUACUGACGCUCAUGCACGAAAGCGUGGGGAGCAAACAGG
rnacentral:rRNA from 1 species